UACUUCUCAUAUAGCUGUGUACACUGUUUAUCCCAGUGGGUUCCAAGAGCUGUACCGCCAUUUUCUGAGGCUCCCUAGUGGUGCCAUUGUUGAGGUGUUUGGUGAUAUCAGUGGCUUAAAGUUUAUCCCCAGUGAAGUGGUCAUGGCUAUUCAGGAGGAUCUGAGUGAAAUGGACAGUACACUGGAAGACUCCUUAGAUAUUAAAUCAAGAGGAUUGAAAAGAAUCCAUUAAAAUAAAAAGGUCCACAGUGGUGCACAAGUCAUGGUGAGAAGACUAAGUUCAACUUCCUUUUCAAUCUACUGCCUUAUAAUAUGUACUUUACC